UACGAAGGGGGCUAGCGUUGCUCGGAAUCACUGGGCGUAAAGCGCACGUAGGCGGACUCUUAAGUCAGGGGUGAAAUCCUGGAGCUCAACUCCAGAACUGCCUUUGAUACUGGGAGCCUUGAGUUCGGGAGAGGUGAGUGGAACUGCGAGUGUAGAGGUGAAAUUCGUAGAUAUUCGCAAGAACACCAGUGGCGAAGGCGACUACCUGGUCUGGCAUUGACGCUCAUGUGCGAAAGCGUGGGGAGCAAACAGG
rnacentral:rRNA from 1 species